rnacentral:rRNA from 1 species
UGGGGGAUAUUGCACAAUGGGCGAAAGCCUGAUGCAGCGACGCCGCGUGGGGGAUGAAGGCCUUCGGGUUGUAAACUUCUUUUGCUCUGAACAAGGCGCACCAUGGGGUGUGUUGAGUGUAGGGGUUGAUUAGCGCCGGCUAACUACGUGCCAGCAGCCGCGGUAAUACGUAGGGCGCGAGCGUUGUCCGGAAUUAUUGGGCGUAAAGGGCUUGUAGGUGGCUGGGUGCGUCUGUCGUGAAAGCUCAUGGCUUAACUGUGGGUUUGCGGUGGGUACGGGCUGGCUUGAGUGCAGUAGGGGAGGCUGGAAUUCCUGGUGUAGCGGUGGAAUGCGCAGAUAUCAGGAGGAAUACCGGUGGCGAAGGCGGGUCUCUGGGCUGUUACUGACACUGAGGAGCGAAAGCAUGGGGAGCGAACAGG